rnacentral:lncRNA from 1 species
CAAUACUUAGAAUUGUUUCAAAAUUUAAAGAAAAAAAAUGUGCCAUGAAUAAUAAUGCUCAUAAAAAAAAUUUAAAGACAACCCUAAUUUAGAAUCUUUAGGUAUAAAAAUAUAGCCACAAUUUCAAUUACGCAACCUUUAAUUUAAAAAAUGUUCUCUUUGACUUGUAAAAAUUCAUAAUCCAUAUUAAUAUAGAAUAUUAGAAUUUUAUCUUUAAGUCAAAACAAUCAUACAAUAUGAUAUAAGCCAUUAUAUACAUAAAGCGCACUCUCUAAUAUUGUGAAACCUCUU